rnacentral:rRNA from 1 species
GACAGGUGCUGCAUGGCUGUCGUCAGCUCGUGUUGUGAAAUGUUGGGUUAAGUCUCGCAACGAGCGCAACCCCUAUCUUUAGUUGCCAGCAUUAAGUUGGGCACUCUAGAGAGACUGCCCGGGUUAACCGGGAGGAAGGUGGGGAUGACGUCAAGUCCUCAUGGCCCUUAUGCCUUGGGCUACACACGUAAUACAAUGGUACACACAAAGGGACGCGACCCAGCGAUGGUGAGCAAAUCUCAAAAAGUGUGCCUCAGUUCGGAUUGGAGUCUGCAACUCGACUCCAUGAAGUUGGAAUCGCUAGUA